rnacentral:lncRNA from 1 species
GCCUGCACCCUUCUCUCACUGCUUUCCAGGGGGAGCUCUCUCAGGUCCAGAGCCCCACGGCUCACACCUCCUCUCCUGCCUCUGGCUUCCUGUCUUCAGGAGGAUAUUUCAAGUUCCAAGAAGGUGCGAAAACUGCGUUUUCUUCUUGAGUUCCGUGUUUCAGGGAGAGAAUCGUGAAGAAACAGACUAAAGGACUUUGUUGCAAGCUACAGUCAUGAAGAAGGACACGUGGGUGAGGCUGGGAGCCCGGGGAGCCUGGUGUCAGCCCCAGUCCGAACAGCGGAGCCAGCAGGAAGACCCUGCCUCUGUGAGUGUGUGGGGUGCUUUGGAGAUGGGGGUGUGUUUAGAUUUUGUCUCUUCCAUGUUAUUCCCAUGGCAGGCUCUGCACCAGUCCCCGGCGCUGCCUGCGGCAUCUGAUUCUGCCGGCGCUGCCCGCUUAGCUUAUGGGUAUGCAGAAGAUCUGCAUCAUGGUUCCUGCUGAAGAAGGGAGUGUGUGGCUGUGUGUGUGUGGCUGUGUGUGUGUGCGUGUGCACAGGCAUGCACACACCUGUGUUUACAUGAACACAUAUGAAUACAGUGUAUGUGUACACACACAAACACGUGUGUGCAUGUGAGGUACAUGCAUGUGCACAUUUGCUUACAUGUACGUGUGUGUGUGCACGUGCAUACACAUGUGCGAUUGGCAAGUGUGUGCAUGCAUAUGUAUAUGGGCACAUAUAUGUACAGGCAUGUAUGCACGUUUGUGUGUUUGGUGUGUCUAUAUAUGUACGUGUAUAUGGCCACACACGGAUACAGGUAUGUAUACACCUGUGCAUGCACGCUUGCCCAGACACACAACUGCACACCUCCCUGCCCUGCACCCUGCCUUUGGGCUCUCCAUCGUUGCUGCUGGCUGAUAGGUCUUGAAAGGCCCAGGCUGGUGAGUAAG